GAUGAAGAACGCAGUGAAAUGCGAUAAGUAAUGUGAAUUGCAGAAUUCAGUGAAUCAUCGAAUCUUUGAACGCACAUUGCGCCCGCCAGUAUUCUGGCGGGCAUGCCUGUCCGAGCGUCAUUUCAACCCUCGAACCCCUCCGGGGGGUCGGCGUUGGGGAUCGGCACUUACCUGCCGGCCCCGAAAUACAGUGGCGGUCUCGCCGCAGCCUCUCCUGCGCAGUAGUUUGCACACUCGCACCGGGAGCGCGGCGCGUCCACGGCCGUAAAACAACCCAAACUUCUGAAAUGUUGACCUCGGAUCAGGUAGAAAUACCCGCUGAACUUAAGCAUAUCAAUAAGCGGAGGA
rnacentral:misc_RNA from 1 species